CGAGAGGUCCUGCGCCGAAAAUGUCCGGGGCUGAAACACACUGCCGAAGCUCAGGAAUCUGCGAAUGCAGGUUGGUAGAGGAGCAUUCUUAAAGAGACGAAGCUGUACCGAAAGGAGCAGUGGAUUUUUAAGAAGAGAGAAUGCCGGAAUGAGUAGCGAGAAAGAGGUGAGAAUCCUCUUGGCCGAAUAUCUAAGGUUUCCAGGGUAAAGCUGAUCUGCCCUGGGUAAGUCGGGGCCUAAGGCGAGGUCGAAAGACGUAGUCGAUGGAUAACAGGUUGAAAUUCCUGUACUAUCCUGUAACAGAACUGUGGGGACGCAGACAGAGAGCACAAGCCGGGAAUGGAAAGACCGGUGCAAGCGAGGUAGGAGUACAUCAGGCAAAUCCGGUGUGCAAUCCGAAGACGUGAUGCGGAUCGAAAAGAAGUAGAGAAGUGUGUGAGCUGGCUGCCAAGAAAAGCCGCUAUUGUUUACAGGAUACCCGUACCGUAAACCGACACAGGUGGAUGAGGAGAGAAUCCUAAGGCCGACGGGAGAAGCAUUGUUAAGGAACUCGGCAAAAUGACUCCGUAACUUCGGGAGAAGGAGUGCCAUGCGAAUGGCCGCAGAGAAUUGGCCCAAGCAACUGUUUAGCAAAAACACAGGUCUAUGCGAAACCGAAAGGUGAGGUAUAUGGGCUGACGCCUGCCCGGUGCUGGAAGGUUAAGGGGAGAGGUUAGCGCAAGCGAAGCUUUGAACUUAAGCCCCAGUAAACGGCGGCCGUAACUAUAACGGUCCUAAGGUAGCGAAAUUCCUUGUCGGGUAAGUUCCGACCCGCACGAAAGGCGUAAUGAUUUGGGCACUGUCUCAACAAUGCACCCGGUGAAAUUGAAAUACCAGUGAAGAUGCUGGUUACCUGCGCCAGGACGGAAAGACCCCAUGGAGCUUUACUCUAGCUUGAUACUGGGAUUCGAUAUUGCAUGUACAGGAUAGGUGGGAGACUAGGAAGUGGUGACGCCAGUUGCCAUGGAGUCAAUGUUGGGAUACCACCCUUGCAGUAUUGGGUUUCUAACCAGCAGCCGUGAUCCGGCUGGGGGACAAUGUCAGGUGGGGAGUUUGACUGGGGCGGUCGCCUCCGAAAGGGUAUCGGAGGCGCUCAAAGGUUCCCUCAGAAUGGUUGGAAACCAUUCGAAGAGUGCAAAGGCAGAAGGGAGCUUGACUGCGACACCGACGG
rnacentral:rRNA from 1 species